UACAGAGGGUGCGAGCGUUGUCCGGAAUUACUGGGCGUAAAGGGCGCGUAGGCGGUGGGGUAAGUAGGGGGUGAAAGGCUGCGGCUCAACCGCAGCACGGCCUUCUAGACUGUCCGACUGGAGCGUAACAGAGGCAGGUGGAAUUCCCGGUGUAGCGGUGGAAUGCGUAGAGAUCGGGAAGAACAUCGGUGGCGAAGGCGGCCUGCUGGGUUACUGCUGACGCUGAGGCGCGAUAGCGUGGGGAGCAAACAGGAUUAGAUACCCUGGUAGUCCACGCCGUAAACGAUGGGUACUAGGCGCUGGAGGGAGCGACCCCUUCGGUGCCGUCGCUAACGCAUUAAGUACCCCGCCUGGGGAGUACGGCCGCAAGGCUG
rnacentral:rRNA from 1 species